UACGUAGGGUGCGAGCGUUAAUCGGAAUUACUGGGCGUAAAGCGUGCGCAGGCGGCUUCUCAAGUCAGGGGUGAAAGCCCAGAGCUUAACUCUGGAAUUGCCUUUGAGACUGAGAGGCUUGAGUACGGGAGAGGUGAGUGGAAUUCCCAGUGUAGAGGUGAAAUUCGUAGAUAUUGGGAAGAACACCGGUGGCGAAGGCGGCUCACUGGCCCGUAACUGACGCUCAUGCACGACAGCGUGGGGAUCAAACAGG
rnacentral:rRNA from 1 species